UUUUUUCUCAUUCACCAACUCACAAGUAUAGAGACUGCAGAGAAAAAACCGAAACAGGGGAGCACAAAUCCUAGAAGAGAGAAGACUUCAUUUUUCAAAAGUGUGGAGGAUCUGAUAGUAGACAUCAUUUUUCGACCAUUAGUGCUUGGGGCUCAGGAUUUGGUCGUGGAGGUCUAGCAUAAGGAAAUGUUUUGAAGUUCUAGUUUUCGAGAGAAGGUAUAAGCAGGAAUCAAGGACCUCAUUUGAUUCUUUUUUAUAUAGAGGCAUUUUGAAAGUUCCAUAAAUGUGUUUCAAUUGGGAGAAUACAUAGUUGUAUAGUUAAGUUUGAGAUUGCACUUGUGUUAGUAUAAUAGUGUGGAUGUAUAUAUUUGAUAUUAUCAGUACGUAUAAAGUAUAAUUUGCUUUGAAUGAUCA